rnacentral:lncRNA from 1 species
UAAGUUUCAGUGAAUGUUAAUUGUUUAAUAGUCCAUCAAUUCUUAUAUAUCUAGAAUUGUCCUAUCAAGCAAUCAACAAUUAAUAUUCAAGUGUUACAUAUCUAAUCUUGUAACACAUUAAGUUGAGAUUCAUAAAUGGCUUAAGGAACUAAAAUUUAUAGCAUCUUAUAUUUUAGUUUUUCAAUUAAAGCAUUAAGUUGCCAAAGUAACCUCUAUUGUGUAGAUUGAUUAAUUUUAAAAUAUGAGAUGA